GUGUAUGCAUGUGUGUCUGCAUGUGGGUAUGUGCUUGUGAGUACGGGUGCCUGUAGAGGCCAGAAGAGGGCCAGAGUAGCUGGAGUACAGACUGUUGGUGGUCAACUGAUAUGGAACUGAGCUCAGGUUCUCUGUAAGAGCAGUAUGUGCUCUUUACCACCCAGCCAUCUCUCCAACCUCGAAUGUGUCAUAGUAAUGGUAUAUACAAAAGUCAAACUGUGUGAUGUCUUUACUAGAUGCCGAGUGAGCAAAUGUUUGAUGAAAUCCAACCUUCGCUUUUAAACAACAACAACAACAAAAAAAAACCCUUGGCAAGCUCACACUAGACCAGACAUCUGAAGGAGCGCUGGUGCCUCCCCAAAGGUGCAAUCUAACCAGCUGCCUCACACACCUGCUACCUGACUGCAGGUGCAAUGUGACCAGCUGCCUCACACACCUGCUACCUGACUGCAGGUGCAAUCUAACCAGCUGCCUCUCACACCUGCCAUCUGACUGCAGGUGCAAUGUGACCAGCUGCCUCUCACACCUGCCACCUGACUGCAGGUACAAUCGGACCAGCUGCUUCACACACGUAUGGCCAUACCGUCCUUGCCUUGAUGAACAGUAAAUGUACCUUGGAACUGUGAGCCAAAAUAAACCCUUCCCUUCCUAA